GUCGAUUUGCAGAGGAGUUUGUAAAAACUUUGAGGUUAAGCGUUCUUGGGUAGGAGUAGUACCAGGUUGGGUGACCUCAUGGGAAAUCUCACCAAAUCCAUC
rnacentral:rRNA from 1 species